GGGAGGAUUCAACUUUCCUGCUACCUUUAAAUGUGAAUUGCUACAGCCAAUGAUAUGUGAGAAGUGAAGCAUACCAUGUUUAAACAGAGAAUAUAGCCCCAGAAAGCGAAAGGUGACAGGAGAAGAAUGGUAGCAGUUGGGUGUACCUGCGGUCCUGAAAAUUCUUGAUAGGAUCUCCUUCCCCACAGGCCAGAGGACUGGAAGGUCAGUGGACACACUAUGUGGGCCAGGGAUUCAAGGACUAUGAUGACUGCUCAGUAGCCAUAAGAAACUUGGACAAAAAAAUAGAAAGAUGAAAAAAAGAAAAAAAGAAAAGCCAUCUAAUUUACCACGUAAACUACUCUUUAUCUUUCCUGUCUUGCUUAUGUCAUAAAACUUUAUGAAAAUUAAUUAUGCAAUUAUAUGUGUAAAAAAACUAUACAUAUUACAAUGCCAUACAAAGGUACAGCUGUAUUGUCAUUACUUUUUAUACACAGAUGUAUUGAUAUGACCUAAUUAACUCUCAUGAUAAGAUUAUUUUACAAUUUGAUACACUUUAUUAUCGUCAUUUAUAUUGGCAACCACUGCAAGAUAUUUUCCUGUAUAUAGUUAAGAUAAUAAAGAAGUGUUUUCCUGGA